UACGUAGGGGGCUAGCGUUGUCCGGAUUUAUUGGGCGUAAAGAGCGUGUAGGCGGCCAGGUAGGUCUGGUGUGAAAACUCGAGGCUUAACCUCGAGAUGUCGGCGGAAACUGUCUGGCUAGAGUCCGGAAGAGGAGAGUGGAAUUCCUUGUGUAGCGGUGAAAUGCGCAGAUAUCAGGAAGAACACCUAUGGCGAAGGCAGCUCUCUGGGACGGUACUGACGCUGAGACGCGAAAGCGUGGGGAGCGAACAGG
rnacentral:rRNA from 1 species